GGCACUUUGGCGGAGUGGUUAACGCGCUGCCCUGCUAUUUCCUUUCGGAAGAGCUGAUAAGGCAGUUCCUUCGGGAGCGAGUGUUCGAAUCACUCAGGUGUCG